UUCAGAGGUAAAAAAAAAACG
rnacentral:piRNA from 1 species